rnacentral:rRNA from 1 species
GGAGGUAGUGACAAUAAAUCACAAUGCGGAACUUCUGUUUUGCAAUUGGAUUGAGAACAACGCACAACAUUUAUCGAUAAACAAUUGGAGGGCAAGUCUGGUGCCAGCAGCCGCGGUAAUUCCAGCUCCAAUAGCGUAUAUUAACGUUGUUGCAGUUAAAAAGCUCGUAGUUGAAGUGAAGUGUGAAUCUCUAGGAUUUUCGUUUGAAUUUCCUUUAGCUUCAUACUCUUUCCAAAUAGUUUGCAUGGGUAUUUACUUAUCUGUGUAUUGCAUUUGGUCAUUUACUGUGAGAAAAUUAGAGUGUUCAAAGCAUACGUUUGUUUGAAUACAUUAGCAUGGAAUAAUUUGAAAAGGCUUUCAUGUUCGAUUUGAUUGGUUUGUUCGUGAAGGCAAGAUUAAAAGGGACAGUUGGGGGUAUUCAUAUUCAAUAGUCAGAGGUGAAAUUCUCGGAUUUAUGGAAGAUGAACAAGUGCGAAAGCA